UGGGGAAUAUUGGACAAUGGGGGCAACCCUGAUCCAGCAAUGCCGCGUGUGUGAAGAAGGCCUGAGGGUUGUAAAGCACUUUCAGUGGGGAGGAGGUCUGCUAGGUUAAGAGCUAAGCAGAUGGACGUUACCCACAGAAGAAGCACCGGCUAACUCCGUGCCAGCAGCCGCGGUAAUACGGAGGGUGCAAGCGUUAAUCGGAAUUACUGGGCGUAAAGGGUGCGUAGGUGGUUUGAUAAGUUAACUGUGAAAGCCCUGGGCUCAACCUGGGAAGGCCAGUUAAGACUGUUGAACUAGAGUAUGGGAGAGGAUAGUGGAAUUUCCGGUGUAGCGGUGAAAUGCGUAGAGAUCGGAAGGAACACCAGUGGCGAAGGCGGCUAUCUGGCCUAAUACUGACACUGAAGCACGAAAGCGUGGGGAGCAAACAG
rnacentral:rRNA from 1 species